rnacentral:rRNA from 1 species
UACGAAGGGAGCUAGCGUUGUUCGGAAUCACUGGGCGUAAAGCGCACGUAGGCGGAUUUGUUAGUCAGGGGUGAAAUCCCGGGGCUCAACCUCGGAACUGCCUUUGAUACUGCAAGUCUCGAGUCCGGAAGAGGUGGGUGGAAUUCCUAGUGUAGAGGUGAAAUUCGUAGAUAUUAGGAAGAACACCAGUGGCGAAGGCGGCCCACUGGUCCGGUACUGACGCUGAGGUGCGAAAGCGUGGGGAG